rnacentral:rRNA from 1 species
CCUUCGGGGACAAAGUGACAGGUGGUGCAUGGUUGUCGUCAGCUCGUGUCGUGAGAUGUUGGGUUAAGUCCCGCAACGAGCGCAACCCUUAUUGUUAGUUGCCAUCAUUUAGUUGGGCACUCUAGCGAGACUGCCGGUGACAAACCGGAGGAAGGUGGGGAUGACGUCAAAUCAUCAUGCCCCUUAUGACCUGGGCUACACACGUGCUACAAUGGGAAGUACAACGAGUCGCUAGACCGCGAGGUCAUGCAAAUCUCUUAAAGCUUCUCUCAGUUCGGAUUGCAGGCUGCAACUCGCCUGCAUGAAGCCGGAAUCGCUAGUAAUCGCGGAUCAGCACGCCGCGGUGAAUACGUUCCCGGGCCUUGUACACACCGCCCGUCACACCACGAGAGUUUGUAACACCCGAAGUCGGUGAGGUAACCUUUUUGGAGCCAGCCGCCUAAGGUGGGAUAGAUGAUUGGGGUGAAGUCGUAACAAGGUAGCCGUAUCGGAAGGUGCGGCUGGAUCACCUCCUUUCUAAGGAA